AUGGAUAUGAACAAACUAGGGCUCAAAAUGGAAACCAUAUCUGAAGCCAAGAUGACCUUUAAAAAAGGUCAGAAAGCUUGGAUAGAGAAAACAUUUUGCAAACGGGAAUGUAUCUUUGUGAUUCCCAGCACGAAAGACCCUAACAGGUGUUGCUGUGGUCAAUUCACCAACCAGCACAUUCCCCCUCUGCCAAGUCUGACACCCAGCAAAAAUGAAGAGGAAAACAAACAGGUGGAUGCCCAACCAGAGAAAUGGUCUGUCACCAAACACACCCAGAGCUACCCGACGGAUUCCUACGGGAUUCUUGAAUUCCAGGGGGGCGGAUACUCCAAUAAAGCCAUGGUAAGAGGGGCAUUCAGACAUGGUGCCACUGGGACCACAGUCCACAUCAGAGGCCCGUCGCCCAGACCCCAGACUGCAGAUACCUGGGUCUUCUUCAGGGUUAUGGCUCAAUCUUCCCAGAUAUUUCAUUGCAAAACCAAGAGUUAUAUUGGUGCACAUGA